UACGUAGGGGGCAAGCGUUGUCCGGAAUUAUUGGGCGUAAAGAGCGUGUAGGCGGCUUGGUAGGUCCGCUGUGAAAACUCGAGGCUCAACCUCGAGAUGUCGGCGGAAACCACUUGGCUAGAGUCCGGAAGAGGAGAGUGGAAUUCCUGGUGUAGCGGUGAAAUGCGCAGAUAUCAGGAAGAACACCGAUGGCGAAGGCAGGUCUCUGGGCCACUACUGACGCUGAGAAGCGAAAGCAUGGGGAGCGAACAGG
rnacentral:rRNA from 1 species